rnacentral:rRNA from 1 species
CAAUAGCGUAUAUUUAAGUUGUUGCAGUUAAAAAGCUCGUAGUUGGAUUUCGGUUAAGAGCGACCGGUCCGCCGUUUGGUGUGCACUGGUUGGUUUUAACUUCCUGUAGAGGACGUGCUCUGGGUUUAACGACCUGGACCCGGAGUCUACGUGGUUACUUUGAAAAAAUUAGAGUGUUCAAAGCGGGCUUACGCUUGAAUAUUUCAGCAUGGAAUAACACUAUAGGACUCCUGUCCUAUUUCGUUGGUCUCGGGACGGGAGUAAUGAUUAAGAGGAACAGUUGGGGGCAUUCGUAUUUCAUUGUCAGAGGUGAAAUUCUUGGAUUUAUGAAAGACGAACUUCUGCGAAAGCAUUUGCCAAGGAUGUUUUCAUUAA